GAUGAAGAACGCAGCGAAAUGCGAUACGUAAUGUGAAUUGCAGAAUUCAGUGAAUCAUCGAAUCUUCGAACGCAUAUUGCGCUCUUUGGUAUUCCGAAGAGCAUGCUUGUUUGAGUAUCAGUAAACACCUCAAGACUUCAAUUUGUUUUGAAUGGCUUUGGACUUGAGCAAUCCCAACACCAGUCUUUACGAUCGGUGGAGGGUUGCUUGAAAUGCAGGUGCAGCUGGACAUUCUCCUGAGCUAAAAGCAUAUUUAUUUAGUCCCGUCAAACGGAUUAUUACUUUUGCUGCAGCUAACAUAAAGGGAGUUUGACCGUAUUGGCUGACUGAUGCAGGAUUUCACAAGGGUCGGCAACGAUUCUUGUAAAACUCGAUCUCAAAUCAAGUAAGACUACCCGCUGAACUUAAGCAUAUCAAUAAGCGGAGGA
rnacentral:misc_RNA from 1 species